GUUCGGCGGUGCUGUCUGUCUGGCUCCUAGAGCUCUGGUGCGGAAGCUGCGCGAACUGUGGGGGCUCAGGACAUUGUUAGUGGAACGUGAAUCAUGGGAGUGCUUAACAGUUCGAGUGACCUUGGGCGAGUCCCUUGUUUUGACGUUUCUCUACAGAGGUGAUGGACUAACCUCUUCGAAUAUCCCUGUACUAUUUUGGUGUUCCUGAUGCAGACAAAAACAAGUAGCAGGAAGGCAAGAUGACUUCCCUGCUCCAAGAUCGGAACAGCUGAAGAAACCACAAGACAAAAUGAGAACCACAAAGGUCUACAAACUUGUCAUCCACAAGAAGGGCUUUGGGGGCAGUGAUGAUGAGCUGGUCGUGAACCCUAAAGUCUUUCCUCACAUCAAACUUGGAGACAUUGUGGAGAUCGCUCACCCCAAUG
rnacentral:lncRNA from 1 species